rnacentral:rRNA from 1 species
GACGGAGGGGGCAAGCGUUGUUCGGAUUUACUGGGCGUAAAGCGCACGUAGGCGGAUUGUUAAGUCAGGGGUGAAAUCCUGGAGCUCAACUCCAGAACUGCCUUUGAUACUGGCAAUCUAGAGUCCGGAAGAGGUAAGUGGAACUCCUAGUGUAGAGGUGGAAUUCGUAGAUAUUAGGAAGAACACCAGUGGCGAAGGCGGCUUACUGGUCCGGUACUGACGCUGAGGUGCGAAAGCGUGGGGAGCAAACAGG